rnacentral:rRNA from 1 species
UCUUGGUCAUUUAGAGGAAGUAAAAGUCGUAACAAGGUCUCCGUUGGUGAACCAGCGGAGGGAUCAUUACAGAGUUGCAAAACUCCCAAACCAUCGUGAACGUUACCUACAUCGUUGCUUCGGCGGGUGGCGGGCUUCGGCCCUGCCCUCGGCCCCUCUCGGGGGCCCGCCGGAGGUACACCAAACUCUUGAAUUUACAUGGCCUCUCUGAGUCUUCUGUACUGAAUAAGUCAAAACUUUCAACAACGGAUCUCUUGGUUCUGGCAUCGAUGAAGAACGCAGCGAAAUGCGAUAAGUAAUGUGAAUUGCAGAAUUCAGUGAAUCAUCGAAUCUUUGAACGCACAUUGCGCCCGCCAGUAUUCUGGCGGGCAUGCCUGUCCGAGCGUCAUUUCAACCAUCAAGCCCCCGGCUUGUGUUGGGGACCUGCGGCACACCCGCAGGCCCUGAAAACCAGUGGCGGGCUCGCUGUCCACACCGAGCGUAGUAGCAUAUCUUUGUCUCGCUCAGGGCGUGCGGCGGGUUCCGGCCGUGAAACCCACCUUCUCGAAGGUACCCAAAGGUUGACCUCGGAUCAGGUAGGAAGACCCGCUGAACUUAAGCAUAUCAAUAAG